AAAUUGAAAUUAAAAAGUUGCCGUCAUUACGAGUAAUUGUAAUGAUAAUUACAUCGCUAUUUGCUGGAAACCCCUAAAGACUUAAAAACCUAGUUCUUUAACUUCUUAAGAACGGGUAAAAUUGUUAAGUAUGUAUAAUGGGCAAUCAGCAGGAAACCAACGGAAUAUUAAUAUUCUUAAUGAGAGUGAUUAUAACACAAUCAUUUGAUAUUGAUUAAUAUAAUCAAUAUCAAGUAGGAUCCUCAGAGACUACACGCGAUGCCCCAAUAUAAAAUAUUGGGUGAAGAUAUAGUCCGGUCCUUAAUGAAAGUUAAGG
rnacentral:ncRNA from 1 species